rnacentral:tRNA from 1 species
CACUCACGUACGCGGGGUUCGUGGCCGCCGCUCAGGUCGGCUGGGUCGCGCUGGCCGUGGCCCACGUGCCGUUCGAGACGGUCGUCGGUGUC